rnacentral:rRNA from 1 species
AUUGAACGCUGGCGGCAGGCCUAACACAUGCAAGUCGAGCGAGCGGCGGACGCGUGAGUAAUGUCUGGGGAACUGCCUGAUGGAGGGGGAUAACUACUGGAAACGGUAGCUAAUACCGCACACCAUCAGAUGUGCCCAGAUGGGAUUAGCUGGUAGGUGGGGUAACGGCUCACCUAGGCGGCGCUCCCUAGCUGGUCUGAGAGGAUGACCAGCCACACUGGAACUGAGACACGGUCCAGACUCCUACGGGAGGCAGCAGUGGGGAAUAUUGCACAAUGGGCGCAAGCCUGAUGCAGCCAUGCCGCGUGUGUGAAGAAGGCCUUCGGGGUGUAAAGCACUUUCAGCGGGGAGGCGUUACCCGCAGAAGAAGCACCGGCUAACUCCGUGACAGCAGCCGCGGUAAUAC